UCGAAUUCAAAUCUGAGAGCACAUUGUAUCUCUGUAGUCUUGUCCGGACUUGUGAUGAUGAUGCCGGCCCUCGAGCCCGAGCUAUUGGAUGCUCCAUCAACAAAAAUCUCCCAUGUUUCCAAGGUCGUGCUCGAGCCCUUGGCCAGUGUUUCCGAGGAUCUCGGAGUAAGCUCUGCUAUGAAGUCGGCCAAAGCUUGGGCUUUGAUUGCAGGUCGUGGCUUGAACUCUAUGUCAAAUUCGUCGAAUUCAAUUGCCCAUUUCAGCAGUCUUCCUGAGACGUCCGGCUUCUGAAGUAUGUGUCUGAGAGGUUGGUUAGUGAGCACACAAUUGGAUGUGACUGAAAGUACGGUCGUAAUUUUCUGGCAGCUAUUACCAAAGCAAGGGCGAGUUGUUCCGCAAGCGUGUAUCGCGUAUUUGCAUUGAGGAGCACUUUACUUACAUAGUAAACAGGUUGCUGAAAUCUUCCUUUUUUCCUUUACCAUGAUACCGCUUACUGUGUUCUCAGAAACGGCCAAGUAUAAUAGCAGCGUGUCACCAGGUUCGGGUUUAGUAAGGACUGGAGGCGUUGAUAAAGUCUGCUUGAGCUCCUAACAAGCUAAGUUGCAUUCCUCAUUCCAGUCGAACCCUUUAUUUCCCCUAAGCAGUUUGAAAAAGGGAAAACACCUAUCUGCUGCCCGGGAAACAAACCUGUUCAGUGCUGCUACGCAACCUGUCAACUUCUGAAUGUCCCUUUUGCACUUAGGGGCCUCCAUACUUAUCAGAGCUUGGAUUUUAUCAAGAUUUGCCUCUAUUCCUCUGUGCGUGAUCAUAAAACCCAAGAAUUUUCCAGAUGCCACCCUAAACGCACACUUUGCCGAGUUGAGCUUCAUGUUGUACCUCCGUAACGUAGCAAACACUUCCUCUAGAUCAGAAACAUGACUAUUCAGCUGUUUGCUCUUAACCACCAUAUCAUCCACAUAUACUUCAACCAUUU
rnacentral:lncRNA from 1 species